rnacentral:lncRNA from 1 species
GUGUUAUUAAAAUUUGCUGUUACAAAAUGUUAGAAAUUAUUAUAAAUUAAGGAAUGUAUCUCCCUCAUGCAAAGCUCUGAUUCCUUUCACGGAUUUGGCUAUACUUUUUGGACCUUUUGGAUUAUAGCUCUUCAUCUUUUAUAUAAGCUUUGGAUUUCAAAUAUUUUGACCACGAGCAUCACUGAAGAGACAUGUAUUGUCGAAAUGCG